GAUGAGGAUUCAUGUCAGGAUGACACUGCUGAGGAUUCACAGUACAACACAGACCUCUACACUCUGUGAAUCUAAUGAACAAGGCCUUACUCCAUUCACUGCCUUAGGAAACAGUCCCGCUGGCUUCAGAAACAUCAAAAUAAGCUUCUGUUUUUUCCAGCUUUACAUAUUACAUUGCUGAAGCAUUUGAUGAAUGGGAUGCUGUGCAGCUGAAAGAUCACACGUAUCCAGUGGCUCACUUGGCGUUCUCAGACUGAACUGACUGGCAGAGUUGCAGCUCUCUGACAAGGGGAAUGCCUGCUUUUCUCUCACAAGAGCAACUUUUAAGUGCACCAUAAAGGCAAGAUACUGUACACACAUAUGAGUGUGUCUGUCUAUAUACACAUGUAUUUGGGUGUGGAUAUAUGUGUUUUUGGAGUGAAAAGCCACUCUGCCGUCCUGUAAUUGCACUGGAAACGUUCAGUUUGUCAGUGUGACUUUUUUCCCUGUUAGCAAUGAAAUUUGGCUGGGAGUCCUAGCGUGCCAUAAGAAAUCAAGCCGUGACCACAUUAAGCAUGAAUGGCAGGGCAAGGUUAAGGCCUGUAACACUAUGCUGGGGUGACCUGUUGCAGAGUUACAGGCUGAGGUGUGAGGCUGGGUCACAUAACUAUUUGCAAGUGAAGCACAAAAUGAAGCUCAAAGCUGCUUUGACUAUUUACUCUUUCAAGAGGCAUUUAGUGAGUAUUUUUUAUUUUCAAAGCAUAUUUAGAGAAUUUCAGCUGCGGGGCUUGUAGCCAACCUUCAGAAAUCAAACCAGAAUAUUUCUUAAUUUUACCUACAAGUACACUCAUGGCAUAUUCCUACUUACUCUACUUUUCAAUGAUUUGAAAAGCUUUUCUAUAAACUCAUGUACAAAGAGACUGCUGAGAAGCAUCUGACGAAGACAGAGAUGUUCAGCUGCAGUGAAAUAAAGCACAAAAUCACCCAACCAGCAACAGGAGUAGGUUGGUGGGUCUUUCCUGUGAUCAGCACUGGAAUUGUUUUACAGAGCAGGAAGUUAGACAUUCUCUUAAAGAAGAAAAAAGAGAGAUGCCAGGGAAUUGUUUGCAAUACCUAUAAACUUUCUGCCCUAAAUCUGUCUCCUGAAAUAC